AGGAGAAGGCGGUGGUCCGCCAUUUCGUGGACGCCAAGUCGGGGAGAGCAUCUGCGGGAGCCGGGCGGGGAGGGGAGCGGGAAGCGGGAAGACCCAUCUGAGGGUGUGUGGAUUUGAGCGUCCGCUUUCCAACCCACGAUCUCGAAAUGCAUCGUGAUUCCUGUCCAUUGGACUGUAAGGUUUAUGUAGGUAAUCUUGGAAACAAUGGUAACAAGACUGAAUUGGAACGAGCUUUUGGCUAUUACGGACCACUCCGAAGUGUGUGGGUUGCUAGAAACCCUCCCGGCUUUGCUUUUGUUGAAUUUGAAGAUCCCCGAGAUGCAGCCGAUGCUGUUCGAGAACUAGAUGGGAGAACAUUAUGUGGCUGCCGAGUAAGAGUGGAACUCUCGAAUGGUGAAAAGAGAAGUCGAAAUCGUGGCCCACCACCGUCUUGGGGUCGUCGCCCUCGAGAUGAUUAUCGGAGAAGGAGUCCUCCACCUCGCCGCAGAGUCACCAUCAUGUCUCUUCUCACCACCCUCUGAGUCUGCAUUAGCCAGUCAACUAGCCCUUUCAGCGUCAUGUGACCAGCGCGCCCCAUUCAGCUUGGCUGGUGUCGUUUCACAUGACCCAGGCAUGGCCAGUCGUCAGGUUGCACCGCCCUUUGGUUCCCGAGCAUGCUGUUUUCUCUCAGCCUUCUCUCCAACCUUAACCAAAUCGGCAGCAGCCACCUCGACCGCCCACACAUUCCUGGCCAAUCAGCUCAGCUGUUUAUUUACCAAAUGUCUUCACAACAACUACAGCAGCAGCCUUCGGCUAACAAAAAAGCAGGAAAAAUCCACAACACCCCCUUCGCCAACCAACUAAAUCCAACGCAACAUCUGGCAAAACCUUUUCAGCAAAUUCUUCCUGGCCGUCAGUCCGGCAGCCUCACCUCACCAUUUCUAGCUUGUUGAAACCCAAAACUAAUCUCCAAGACGGAGAAGCUUCUCCCGCAGCCGGAGCAGGUCCCUUUCUAGAGAUAGGAGGAGAGAGAGAUCGCUGUCUCGGGAGAGAAAUCACAAGCCUUCCCGAUCCUUCUCUAGGUCUCGUAGCCGAUCUAGGUCAAAUGAAAGGAAAUAGAAGAUCAGUUUGCAAGAGGAGUGGUGUACAGGAAAUAACUUCAUUUGACAGGAGUAUGUACAGAAAAUUCAAGUUUUGUUUGAGACUUCAUAAGCUUGGUGCAUUUUUAAGAUGUUUUAGCUGUUCACAUUUGUUUGUCUCUUGGAACAGUGACACAUAAAGAUGUAAUUCUCUAUGAUUUGAAUGGAUCAUAUGAGGCAUGUAAUAUCAAGAAUUGUUACUUUACAAUGUCCCCUUAAGCAAAAUUGAAUUUGAAGUUUAGUCUCACAUAGACUGAUAAUAAACCUCUAACUUCUGCCCAGCUAAAGCUUGACAUUUAAUAUUACGAAAACUGGCAAAAAUUGAACGAAGUCUUUCCAUAGCUGGGAUAAUAGUAUGGAGCUGUAGUUGAAGAAGCAGUCUUUAAAAGCUGGUGUGAACACAAGCCAGCAGGUAAAAAUUAAGCUGUACUGUUAAACUAGAUUAGAGGUUUAAAAAAAAAACAAAAAACAACUUCUUCAUACUGGGCAGGGGUGUCCAGUUGGUGUAGAAUUGGAAGUUGCAAGAAAGUUAGUUUACCUUUGCUUUAGGUCAUAAGUUCCUUAUGUGAUUGCUGUAUAUGAACACAGAGCUCUUUGUAACAAUCUCUGUUUGGUAAUUUGAAACUAUUCAAGAUACCAAUGGCUUGCCAGUUUAAGGGUACAUUGUAGAGCUGAACUUUGAGUUACUGUGCAAGAUUUAUUUUUUUUUCAUGCUGUCAUUUGUAAUAUGUUUGUGAGAAUCCUUGGGAUUAAAGUUUUGGUUACAAAUUGUUGUUUAACCCGAAAGCCUGUUUUUCCUUGCAAAACUAAAAUCUGUGAGCUUGGUAUCAAGUCCAGGUAUAACAUUCCUAUUGGAAGCCAUACUUCUAUUUUCUUGUAAAGUGCUUUUGAAUUAAUAAAAUAUUAGCAUAAUUGUGUAAUAGUCGAACCCACUAUUACCAUAGUUCUUGUCCCAUGGAAAUCAGUUGGUUACACAAAUCUUAGAAGAAACACAACUGAGGCUGAAGGGGAUUUUUGGUUGUCACCUAUGUGAUUGUUCGUACUUAACCAUUUUUUAGGAGUAGGAGCCAGUUUAAAGACCAUGAUACUCUGUGACCAACAUUUUAAAAGUAUAGCAACCUGGUACAUUAUAACCCAAAGUGACCCAUUAAAAAAGGCUUUUAUCAUUA